GAUGAACGCUGGCGGCGUGCCUAAUACAUGCAAGUCGAGCGAACAGACGAGGAGCUUGCUCCUCUGACGUUAGCGGCGGACGGGUGAGUAACACGUGGAUAACCUACCUAUAAGACUGGGAUAACUUCGGGAAACCGGAGCUAAUACCGGAUAACAUGUUGAACCGCAUGGUUCAACAGUGAAAGACGGUCUUGCUGUCACUUAUAGAUGGAUCCGCGCCGCAUUAGCUAGUUGGUAAGGUAACGGCUUACCAAGGCAACGAUGCGUAGCCGACCUGAGAGGGUGAUCGGCCACACUGGAACUGAGACACGGUCCAGACUCCUACGGGAGGCAGCAGUGGGGAAUCUUCCGCAAUGGGCGAAAGCCUGACGGAGCAACACCGCGUGAGUGAAGAAGGUCUUCGGAUCGUAAAACUCUGUUAUUAGGGAAGAACAAAUGUGUAAGUAACUAUGCACGUCUUGACGGUACCUAAUCAAAAAGCCACGGCUAACUACGUG
rnacentral:rRNA from 1 species